UGUUCUUUCUAACACUCAAAGUUUCUCCUUAGUCACCUCUUCCAUUUUAGGAUUUUGUAGAGCCAAAACCCAAAUCCCUUUCACACCCAAAUCCCUUUCACUAGCGAGCUCGCCAUGUCUAUAUGAUCAAGCCCAUCGAGUUUUACUUCGCAGAGUUCUUGAAAAUGGCUCUUGCAGAUCCAAAACCCAAAUCCCUCGUGACGCUUGCGACGAUGACGGCGAGUGCGAGUUCUGCUUCGUUGAGUUCCAUCUUCAAGCCAACCUUCGAUGUUACCAGUAAGGAUCUCUAAAGUUCCGGUUAUACGAUUAUUCCCUUCGAUUUCACCGAUUCCGCCAGCUAUGGUUCCUCUGAGCAAAGUGGGAUUAUUAUUGUGAUGUUUUGGCGAUGGCAAUGACUGAGGCUGUGGGCAAUUGUUAGGAAAGGUUCUACUAAAGUCUUUGAAAUUGAUCAAAAUACCCAGUAAGUCGUAUGACGGCUACGAUUACUUAUUUAAGGUUGUCCUGAUCGGUGGCUCAGGUGUUGGAAAAUCCAACCUUUUGUCUAGAUUUUCAAGAACGAGUUUAGCCUUGCAUCUAAGUCUACUAUUGGGGUUUUGUUUGCCACCCAUAGCACUCAUGUUGAUGAUAAGGUUGUUAAAGCUCAGAUUUGGGACACUGCUGGACUAGAAAGAAUGUGUUGUGGACUCCAUCAAAGUUAAUUGCAUGCUUGGGAAAAUAUAUAAAUAAUGAAAGUGCAUACAAGGCAAGUGUCCUUCUAAUUUAGCUUAAUGGUAUGAGAAUAUAAUUACUUUUUCACCUUCUCUUUUGCUAAUUGAUCAAAAUGGUCAAUCUACAAUGUUGGCAUUAUUGACCAUUGCCAUUCAUUUACUAUACCCCAUUAAGGUUAUUUAUGAUACUAAUAAAGUUAGUUAUAGUUGUUUAAUCUAUUAUGAAAUAUUGCAUUAUUGCUUUGAAGAUAUUUCGUUACUGCUUGACUACCUUACUUUGUCCUUUUUCCUGCAAUGCUAAAAGAUACGAGUCAUGCUAACUAAUAUCAUGAGAUUAUCUUGGCCAAUUAUGUUUGUCAUUUUUGAAUUCAGAGUAUAGUUCUUGAGUUUAGGAUUAUGUAUGUUAUUUUCUUGUUUUGCUAUUUGUACUUCUUUAAUUAGCUUUGUCUUUAUU